rnacentral:rRNA from 1 species
GGCGGACGGGUGAGUAACGCGUGGGUAACCUGCCUCAUACAGGGGGAUAACAGUUGGAAACGGCUGCUAAUACCGCAUAAGCGCACAGUACCGCAUGGUACCGUGUGAAAAACUCCGGUGGUAUGAGAUGGACCCGCGUCUGAUUAGCUAGUUGGUGGGGUAACGGCCUACCAAGGCGACGAUCAGUAGCCGACCUGAGAGGGUGACCGGCCACAUUGGGACUGAGACACGGCCCAA